rnacentral:lncRNA from 1 species
CUAGGCCCACGGUAGGCCCCGGGCACAUUUUCAGCUGCGAAGCGGAGGACUAGCAACCGGUGAGGUAGAAGGAGAACCAAGAGAUGGUGGGAGAAUGGGAACUGAGCUGAGAGAGCUUCCGGAAGGUUGCGGUGGUCUAGGGCGAUCCGCGUCAUUGAGAAACGGCGUUAGGCUGAUUUCACGGGGCAGAUGACAUGGAAGUGCUGCUGAGGAAGACGCUGAGCUCCUGAAGUGAAAAGGGAUGAGGACGCCUAAGACACGAGCGCAAUACCUAAUACAAUUUCCUGAAAUUGUUUCAUGUCACACGUUAAAAUAAUAUGAAACACGUUAAAUAAUAAAAUGGUAUGAAGGUUUUAUUUUACCUG